CUCCUCGGAUUUAGCCCAGGCAGCCUGGGAGGUUCCGCAGUCGCCGCUUCCGCCUUGACCAGGUGAGGGUCCGGACCGAGCAGGGGGCCCGGGCUGGGGAGAGCCGGCGGAGCAGCCGUCGCUGGGGGCGCGUCCGGGGGGCGCUGGGCCUGUCCUCUUCUCCUGCGUCCUUCCCUCCCGCAGCCGCGCUUCCUCCUGUCUCCCUUCUGCGCUCCCCGCU
rnacentral:lncRNA from 1 species